GGCAACAAUUGGGGCCGAUAGGCUGCAAUUCCAUUUUGGUCUUUUUCUUUUCCAACCUCUCUUUCAGUUUCAGACAUUUUCCUCCUAAUUAUUAAAUCAAGAACCCUUAAUUAAUUAUUAAUUAACUAUAACUAAUAAUUAAUAAUGAUUAUCAUCGUUUGUCCCUUUUCGCCGCUCCUUUCUCUUAUUGUUUCUGUUUGUUUUUUCUAAUUUCUUUUGUUUCUUUCUCAUUUAAUAUUCCUUUCUCUGGCUCUUUUCUAUCUGAUAAUUCUUCCUCGCUAAGAUUCUCCCUCCUUGUCCUUUUCUCUUCUUAUCUAUUGCCCGUCUCAGAAUUCUCUCUAUGCUUCUUCAAUACCUUAUGGUGCGUAUCUGUGUCUCGAUUUUCUAUUUCUGCUCUGUUUGUUUACUCGGAAAACAGUUUUCUUAUCAUAUCUCUGUCGUUUUCAACUGGUUACACAGGUUGAAAGCAAUCGAAAUUGAGAUCUGCAAAAGUUUGUAAUAUGGCGGAGGAGCACAGAUGCAAAGCGCCGGAAGGUCACCGUCUCUGCGCCAAUAACUGUGGGUUUUUCGGGAGUUCCGCCACGAUGAACCUCUGCUCCAAAUGUUACAGUGACUAUUGUCUCAAGGAACGACAACAACAACAAGAAGCUUCCGUUAAAGCCUCACUCUACGUUUCAUCUUCGUUGCCUUCUGUCCCCGUCGGCGAUUCUCAGCCUUCCCCGGCGAUCGCCUUACCAGAGGUACGGAGUCCUGCGACGGAGGUGCCGGCAGCGGUUGAGCAGCCGAGUCGGUGCUUCACGUGCAGGAAGCGGGUCGGCUUGAGCGGAUUUAAAUGCCGGUGCGGGAUUACGUUCUGUGGGACACAUAGGUACCCGGAGCAGCACGGCUGCACCUUCGAUUUCAAGAAG
rnacentral:misc_RNA from 1 species